AUUGAACGCUGGCGGCAUGCUUUACACAUGCAAGUCGAACGGUAACAGGCUUUCGGGUGCUGACGCGUGGCGAACGGGUGAGUAAUGCAUCGGAACGUACCCAGAGGUGGGGGAUAACGCAGCGAAAGCUGUGCUAAUAUCGCAUGUGAUCUGAGGAUGAAAGCGGGGGACCGAGCAGCAAUGUUUGGCCUCGCGCCUUUGGAGCGGCCGAUGUCGGAUUAGCUAGUUGGUGGGGUAAAGGCCUACCAAGGCGACGAUCCGUAGCUGGUCUGAGAGGACGACCAGCCACACUGGGACUGAGACACGGCCAAGACUCCUGCGGGAGGCCGCAGUGGGGAAUUUUGGACAAUGGGCGCGAGCCUGAUCCAGCAAUGCCGCGUGCGGGAAGAAGGCCUUCGGGGUGUAAACCGCUUUUGGCAGGAACGAAACGGUGUCCGCUAAUACCGGGCGCUAAUGACGGUACCUGCAGAAUAAGCACCGGCUAACUACGUG
rnacentral:rRNA from 1 species